rnacentral:rRNA from 1 species
UUUGCGUCGAAGGUAUACCGGUAAGGAGUGCUGGAGCGAAUAGAAGUGAGCAUGCAGGCAUGAGUAGCGAUAAUUAAUGUGAGAAUCAUUAACGCCGUAAACCCAAGGUUUCCUACGCGAUGCUCGUCAUCGUAGGGUUAGUCGGGUCCUAAGUCGAGUCCGAAAGGGGUAGACGAUGGCAAAUUGGUUAAUAUUCCAAUACCAACAUUAGUGUGCGAUGGAAGGACGCUUAGGGCUAAGGGGGCUAGCGGAUGGAAGUGCUAGUCUAAGGUCGUAGGAGGUUAUACAGGCAAAUCCGUAUAACAAUACUCCGAGAACUGAAAGGCUUUUUGAAGUCUUCGGAUGGAUAGAAGAACCCCUGAUGCCGUCGAGCCAAGAAAAGUUUCUAAGUUUAGCUAAUGUUGCCCGUACCGUAAACCGACACAGGUGGGUGGGAUGAGUAUUCUAAGGCGCGUGGAAGAACUCUCUUUAAGGAACUCUGCAAAAUAGCACCGUAUCUUCGGUAUAAGGUGUGGUUAGCUUUGUAUUAGGAUUUACUCCGAAAGCAAGGAAACUUACAACAAAGAGUCCCUCCCGACUGUUUACCAAAAACACAGCACUCUGCUAACUCGUAAGAGGAUGUAUAGGGUGUGACGCCUGCCCGGUGCUCGAAGGUUAAUUGAUGGGGUUAGCAUUAGCGAAGCUCUUGAUCGAAGCCCGAGUAAACGGCGGCCGUAACUAUAACGGUCCUAAGGUAGCGAAAUUCCUUGUCGGUUAAAUACCGACCUGCAUGAAUGGCGUAACGAGAUGGGAGCUGUCUCAAAGAGGGAUCCAGUGAAAUUGUAGUGGAGGUGAAAAUUCCUCCUACCCGCGGCAAGACGGAAAGACCCCGUGGACCUUUACUACAGCUUGACACUGCUACUUGGAUAAGAAUGUGCAGGAUAGGUGGGAGGCUUUGAGUAUAUGACGCCAGUUGUAUAUGAGCCAUUGUUGAGAUACCACUCUU